rnacentral:rRNA from 1 species
AAUCCAUAGGUUAAUGAGGCGAACCGGGGGAACUGAAACAUCUAAGUACCCCGAGGAAAAGAAAUCAACCGAGAUUCCCCCAGUAGCGGCGAGCGAACGGGGAGGAGCCCAGAGCCUGAAUCAGCAUGUGUGUUAGUGGAAGCGUCUGGAAAGGCGCGCGAUACAGGGUGACAGCCCCGUACACAAAAGCGCAUGUGUUGUGAGCUCGAUGAGUAGGGCGGGACACGUGGUAUCCUGUCUGAAUAUGGGGGGACCAUCCUCCAAGGCUAAAUACUCCUGACUGACCGAUAGUGAACCAGUACCGUGAGGGAAAGGCGAAAAGAACCCCGGCGAGGGGAGUGAAAAAGAACCUGAAACCGUGUACGUACAAGCAGUGGGAGCACAGGUUUACCUGUGUGACUGCGUACCUUUUGUAUAAUGGGUCAGCGACUUAUAUUCUGUAGCAAGGUUAACCGUAUAGGGGAGCCGGAGGGAAACCGAGUCUUAAUUGGGCGUUAAGUUGCAGGGUAUAGACCCGAAACCCGGUGAUCUAGCCAUGGGCAGGUUGAAGGUUGGGUAACACUAACUGGAGGACCGAACCGACUAAUGUUGAAAAAUUAGCGGAUGACCUGUGGCUGGGGGUGAAAGGCCAAUCAAACCGGGAGAUAGCUGGUUCUCCCCGAAAGCUAUUUAGGUAGCGCCUCGUGAAUUCAUCUCCGGGGGUAGAGCACUGUUUCGGCUAGGGGGCCAUCCCGGCUUACCAACCCGAUGCAAACUGCGAAUACCGGAGAAUGUUAUCACGGGAGACACACGGCGGGUGCUAACGUCCGUCGUGAAGAGGGAAACAACCCAGACCGCCAGCUAAGGUCCCAAAGUCAUGGUUAAGUGGGAAACGAUGUGGGAAGGCCCAGACAGCCAGGAUGUUGGCUUAGAAGCAGCCAUCAUUUAAAGAAAGCGUAAUAGCUCACUGGUCGAGUCGGCCUGCGCGGAAGAUGUAACGGGGCUAAACCAU